rnacentral:rRNA from 1 species
GCGACCCCAGGUCAGGCGGGAUCACCCGCUGAGCUUAA